rnacentral:lncRNA from 1 species
AAGUAUUGGAGCCUCAGCUUCAGGAUCUGUCCUUCCAGUGAGCACUCAGGGCUGAUUUCCUUAAGAAUGGAUAGGUCUGAUCUUCUUGCAGACCAUGGGACUCUCAAGAGUCUCCUCCAGCACCAUAAUUCAAAAGCAUCAAUUCUUCGGUGAUCAGCCUUCUUUAUGGUCCAGCUGUAUGGGCUGCAGAGGUGCUAUUUUUCCACCUUGUCUUUCCUACCAAACUUUCUGCCUGCAGGACGGUCUGCUUUUCCCCAUCCUCUGAAGCAGCACCAAGCAGAACUGAAUCCUACCUGGUAGGCAGUAGAAUCCGAUCCUGCAAGAGGCUUCUUCCUCUGCAGGGCAGCAACUGACCCUGACCAGGAUCAAAUCCUCCUGCUUACCAGCUCGUAAGUGAAAUCUUAAGUCGUGUGUGGAGCCAUCUACUGUGCCUACCAUGAAUGGCUUCCUUGCCAGGAAGCCACCCACAGCCAACCAGCACAACCUCAGGAUUGAAUCCGGUCAACGGCAGGAUCCAAUGCUUUGUGGUUCCUGUUGCAGCUCCUUCCCAAAGGGCUACCUUGCAGGGAAGCACCUGCAGAAUUUAACCCACCUGUUCUAAUAUAGAUAGAUCAAUCAAUGCAGAAAUGGGUCUAGUUGAGUUACAUGGAAGCAAAGAGAUUUGCCCAUUGAUAGUACCAUCAUGUCACGGGUGCUCUUGACCCAUCAUGUCAUGGGUGCUCUUGAUAUAAUAAUAAUAAUAAUAAUAAUAAUAAUAAUAAUAAUAAUAAUAAUUUAUACCCUACUCAUCUGACUGGGUUUCCCCAGCCACUCUGGGUGGCUUCCAACAAAACACUAAAAUACAAUAACCUAUUAAACAUUAAAAGCUUCCCUAAACAGGGCUGCCUUCAGAUGUCUUCUAAAAGUUUGGUAGUUAUUUUUCUCUUUGACAUCUGGUGGGAGGGCGUUCAACAGGGCGGGUGCCACUACCGAGAAGGCCCUCUGCCUGGUUCCUGUAACUUGGCUUCUCGCAGGGAGGGAACCGCCAGAAGGCACUAGACCUCAGUGUCCGGGCAGAACGAUGGAGGUGGAGACGCUCCUUCAGGUAUACUGGGCCGAGGCCGUUUAGGGCUUUAAAGGUCAGUACCAACACUUUGAAUUGUGCUCAGAAACGUACUGGGAGCCAGUGUAGGUCUUUCAAGACCGGUGUUAUAUGUAGAAGUUGGGGAGAGCUAUAUUCCAUAUGGCUAUAUAAACUUAAAGAAAUUAUUAUUUGGUUGUGUGGCAUAAGUAAAGCUGGUUUUGAUUUUUUGUGUGUGUGCAUGCUAGCUUAAUACCAGAACCAUUUUGGAUUUGAUAAAUACCCCCAUCGAGGGAAAGGCUUUGCUGGAUAAUUAAAAUUACGUGCCAGAAUCCUUUCUUUUGGCAAGUUCACUAAAAGGUUCAUUUAUUUGAUUUUGUUUUAUUUAUGGCUAAUCUGCAAAUUAUUGAACCUACCAAUACAAUUGCAGGGCUCUCUUUAAUGCUUCCAGGAGUGUAAUGGUCUCUUAGCUGUGGAGGUUCUGGCAAUGGCCUGAAUGGAAAGCCUAAGCCAUAAAGAAUGACGAAUGGAGUCAUUUCUGUGCAAAAUAAACCUGGAAAAGGCCACACCAGUGCAUCACAAUUUAAAUCACAGACGGAGGAACUUUUCCAGGGGGCAGGUUGGAUCCCAGCUCCCUCCAUCCACCAUGCACCAAGAUUUCUGGGAGCUGUAGUGUGCUGAGAGUUAUUGGGAAACCCCUAGUCCCCUCACAGAGCUACCCCCUCCCCUCACAGAGCUACCAUUCUCAGAGUGCCUUAGCAAUCCCUCUUCACAGGGAGCUCUGCAAAUAGUAGUUCCGUGAGGGGAAUAGGGAGGGCUACAGCUCCCAGAAUUCUUUGGGGGAAGCCACAACUGUGGUAUCAUAGUGCACAAAAUGUAUGGUGUGAAUGUGGCCCAAGUUGCAGCAAAACCAGAAGUCAGAGAACGGGGAUUUUAAUAUGUUUCGUCUGUACUAAAGCAAGUUUCUUUCUUGGCUGAGUAACAAGUUGCCUAACAUCUCUGUGCUUCUACUCCAUUUCCCCCCUCCGCAAUGCACAUAGUGUACAGCUGAGGAGUCUUCACUUCCCAGCAAUGAGCACUGGAUCAGGAAACGCAGGGCCUUAGUGAGAAAACAAAUAACGAAACUCGGCUUAACAGGGUUGCUGGCCCACCGUCAGAUCCCCUAUUUUAAAACUUUGCAAGUAUCACAAUUAGGCUUUGCGCCAAGCCCAUUCCCUUGGUGAAUUCAGGCUUCUGCACUACUCAAUAGGAGUCUGUUAAUGACUACAAAGAUCCACAGCUGUUUACAGUUUUAGGCUCAGUGGUGGACCAGGCAAUAAGCUUGUUCCAGCGACGUGAGUGUUGGGCUCUCGCGGCAAGGAGAGGCAUUGUGACAAAUAUUUCUUUACAGACGGGGGGCGAAGGGUGCAACUUGCAGCGAGGAAUUUAUUUAUUUAGAUUGAUGGCCUAUCUUCUCUCGGCAGCUCGGGGUGGUCUCAUGAACAUCUCUGCUGUUGCAUUUCAAAAAUGGAAAGAAAUGGAAGGGAGGGUUCUUCUUUUCCGUGUAUGGUGUAAGCCUAAGAGCCUAACUAUAGGUUGCGUUAAUGAUACGGUGAUCAUACAAGGUGGCUCACCACAUUGAAAACUGACGUUAUGAAAUACAAAGUAUUAAAAAGAAACGAGUUAAAAGCAAUAAUUGAAACAUUUCAGUGCAUAUUUGGGAGGUGGUGGACUCUCUGUCAUUUGAGGUUUUUAAACAGAGGUUGGAUAGCUACCCGUCAGGGAUUCUUUAGCUGUGAAUCCUGCAUUGCAGGCGGCUAGACUAGAUGACUCUGGGGUCCCUUCCAAUGCUACAAUUCUGUGAUUCUAGGACCUGAACACAACAGGAUUCUCCCCUCCUGUAGUUUCCAGCAACUGGCCUUCAGAAGCAUACUGCCUCUGACAGCCAUGGUAGAGUAAACGCAAUAAAUAAUAACAAUAACAAAGCCACCAAGGUUGGUAGCUAUUGCUAGCCUUAAAGGUAAAGGGAACCCUGACCAUUAGGCGCAGUCGUGACUGACUCUGGGGUUGCGGCGCUCAUCUUGCUUUAUUGGCCAAGGGAGCUGGCAUGUGGCCAGCAUGACUAAGCUGCUUCUGGUGAACCAGAGCAGCGCACGGAAACGCCACUUACCUUCCCACCGGAGCAGUACCUAUUUAUCUACUUGCACUUCGACGUGCUUUCGAACUGCUAGGUUGGCAGGAGCAGGGACCGAGCAACGGGAGCUCACCCCGUCAUGGGGAUUCAAACCGCCAACCUUCUGAUCGGCAAGCCCUAGGCUCUGUGGUUUAACUCACAGCGCCACCCACAUCCCUCUUAUCCUCCACUAAUUUGUCUAAUACUCUUUUAAAGUUGCCCAACAUUUAAUACCCAUGAACAUGGGACAUUCAUGCCAAAAAUAAAAGAGAGGCCAUGGCUCUCUUCUGAACACACAUCUCCCUGUCUCAUCACGGCCAAGCUGAGUUUCGGUGUUCCUGUGAGCAAACUGGCUGGCUGCUUCUUUAGCACUCACUUCCUUUUAAACAUUUCUCCAGUGUGAAAUGAAAGGAGAGCUCCCUGUGCAGGGAAAUAAAAAGGGGUCUCCCCCCCUCGGCCCUGCAGCCUCCCCUCCCCUUUCCUUAUGAGUAUGCAAAAAUCCCAAGUGGAUAUCUUUUUUAUGAAUUGGACCCUUCUUUUUAUAGCCCAAACUAUCAUUGCUUAUUACAAUGCCGUCUUAUGGCUUAGGCACUUUUUAUGUCCCUCAGACAUAGCACCCUAGAGGAAGAUGCUUCACUAAGCAAGAACUCCACAAACUUGCUACAGAAUCAGCGGAAUACUUUUCUCAAAAGUGCAUAAACUUCUGUUCUUAAACACUGUCAUCCUUCACCUUAACAAGUAUGGGAAGGGUGGGGAGGGGGAAGGUUCCACUAGUUUCUAUGCCUUGUUAGGUCUAUCAUCUUUUUAAUUAAUAGUGUUUUUACGAAGCCGUCUGAACUGUGUCAUUUCCAUUAUCAGAAAACCACUGCCAUUAAUGAAUAAUUUUCAUUUCUGAUCCUUGAUAUCAUGCUAGUUGAUCUCCUGUUUCCAUGCCGCCAAAUGAUAGCAUCGUUUUCUGCCCACGAUCAAAUUUAAUUUGGACUCUGAUUAUAUUAUGCUGUUGCGACUGAAGUGUCAAUUUUUGUCAGGCAAUUAGGAGCUAUAACCUGUGAAGUUAAGUUUGAUAGGCAUUGUAAUUGGAUUGUUACAGUAAUAGCUUGGAACAUUCCCUUUUUUCUUGCUUCUUUGAUUCUUGGUGCAUACUUCAGUUGCGCGAACAAAGGCAUUUUGUUGUUAUGAAACUAUAGGACAUUCAAGACAACAAAAUGGAGACGGUACGUUUCUGCUCUGCUCACAAAAAUAAAACAGGCUUGGGCUUAGGUCAGACUAGCGUUUGUGGCAGGCUUUCGGAAGGAAGCUCAAAAUGAUCAAUAGGUUGAAGGAACUCCUCUGUGGGGAGUGGUUACUACAUUUGAGACUUUUUAGUUUAGAGGAAAGGUGAGCCAAGGAGGACAUGAUGGAAGUGUUUAAGAUUGUUAACAGUGUGGGAAAAUUGGAUAGGGAAACGGUUUUCUCCCUCUCUCACAAUCCCAGAACUUGGGACCAUUCGACAAAGUGGAACGUUAGAAGAUUAAAGACAGGGAAAAGAAAGAACUUUUCCACACAGAACUUAGUUGGGCUGUGGAAUUUGCUCCCAUAAGAUGUAGUCAUGGCCACCGACUUGAAAGGAGAUUAGACAAAUUAUUGGAGGAUGGUGCUAUCAGUGGCUGCUAGCCACAAUGUCUCUGCUCCUUGUACAAUUUCAGGAGCAAUGUGCCUCAAAAUUAGAGAUGCAAAAUGGGCAUCGUUUUCCAUUCCAUCCCAUAUUCAUUGCACGCAGCACCGUUCCCAUUCUGCUGCAGUUCACCUUCCGCCAAAAACUAUGUUAUUUGUUUUGCUGCCCCCAGUGGCAAAAUUAUGUAAUGCGUAUAAUUAAGUAUGUACAUAAAGACUGGAUCUAGACACAUCAAAGAAGCAAUUCAGCUAAACGUGUUGCAAACUCACACAGGGAAAUCUGGUAGGGAAAGACAGGACUCCACAGCGCCAUCUGGUGUCAUGGUGUUAUAUCGCAUAUACAACGCAUAGGUCUCUGAAUACACAGGAUCAAAGUGCUUCAAGAGUUAUGAGGUACAAAGAUUAUUGCUUCUUCUUUGGAGUGGAAGAAAACAACACACACAACUUAACACACACAGAAAUGUGCCCCCCGAUAUGUGUGUGUAUUAAUAUUAUAUUAUUCUAGGGAUGGGGGGAAAUUCAAUUCUGUUCACAUUUCAAGGUAGAUUUACCUAAUUCACAUUUCCCAAAACAAUAUACAAACCAAAACUCAGCCAUUCUCUGAAAUUCGCACUUCUCUGAAUUUUGCAAUGCAGUUCUCCAGCCAAUGAUAUAUGUGCGCAGAAAUAACAUACGGUGAAAAAUAACAUACAGAAAAGCAUUAUAUUAGAGAAAUUUGCUUUCAGAAAAUGUGCAUAUUAGGAGAUACGUAAAUAUUAGAAAUGCACACACAAAGGUAGAUGGAUUUUCAUGAGGAGUUUAAACUUAAUAUAUUGCAAGCUUCUGUAGAAAUGUGGAAAACUGAAUUUAAGAUUGGGGAGAGGAAUGAGAGUAUUCCUAUAUCAGUAUUCCUAUUUUAGUUAAAAAAAAAACUUGAAAAGAAAACACUGAAAAUUGUGGUGAAAUUAGCCUUGCAUUAACACCCAUCCCUUUUAUAUCCAGUGUGUAGAACUUUGGGGUGUAUGCAAGUCACAGAAAUCUAUUAAUUUCCUAUUGUGUGGAUACUGGUGAAAUAAUUGCUGUAGCCUAGUCCUCAACAGCUCAUUAGUUGUAAUGCACUGUAGCCGUAAUCAGUGAGAAGUAUUUGAAAAAGCAUCUCACACUUGUUAUGAGCACUCUAAUAAAGAGGGAGCAGUCUGUACACCCAUAAAAAAACUUUCAAAUCUGUUAGCAGCACCUGCACUAAGCACCAGAAUUGCCAACACUUUAGAUGCAAAUGGGAGUCAUCAUCUUAGGAGACGGCAGAGUUCAUAGGUUCAACAUUCUCUCACUUUCAGUCUCCCAUGUCAGCGAUAUUUUAACCAGCUGGGGGCAGAAUUACAUUCUGGAAAUUAAAGAAUAUAUAUAUAUGUAUAUAUAUAUAUAUGAUUAAAAUUACAAAUCCACAAGCAGUUCUGCUUCUGAGCUUCUCAAUUUACUACAUUAUAAGACAACAUGAAAAAUCCUAUCAGGGGGAAAAAUGAUGUCUGAUUGCACAUUAUACUUCUUGAAGUAUCAGUGCAUGGGUAGCUUUACACUUACAAGCAAUUUAAAUACUUCAAUAUAUUUAUAUACGGGAGAAGAAGGGUGGGGGGACACCUUUGUCAAGCCAAACCUCUUGAUGAAAUUUGCUCAUUUUUUUUCCAAAAAACUGUGUUGGUAACAUUACAAAUCUUCUUCUUUUUGAACAAUGUAGAUGAGCCAGAAGUUGCACAGCACUUUUUUUAAAAAAAAAAUCAUUCCCAAUUCGGAGAAAACAGAGUGAUCAGUUUAAAUGAUUUGGCAUUUGUGCGCCCUGGCUUCCAUCCCCUAUAAAUAGUUUUGCUUUGGAUUCUAGCAGGGUUGUCAAUCAGCCACUACUAACUCAGUUGGAACUGUGAGCUGCUCCUGUGGGAGCUAUUGGGUCCCAGAGGAUAAGACUAUCAAUGACUCUAUUCUACCCCCACUAUUGGAGGCAGUAUGCUUCUGAAUGCCAGUUCCUGGGAUCACAAGGGGAGAGUGCCCUGUGGAGGCUUCUCAUAAUCCAGCUUGCCACUGUGAGGACAGGGACUCAGCUACACUGGCAAACAAAAAGCGCUUUAUAUGCAUUGUAUAUGCAUCAUAACACUGUGGCACCAGAUGGCGCUGUGGAGUUCUAUUUUUGCCAACCCAAUUUCUCAUAAAAAACGUGUUGUAAAUGAAUCAUGGAUCACUGCCUUGCCAUGGCGAAGGGGCUUGAAUAACUCGGAGAAGCUAUGAGCUAUGCCGUGCAGGGCCACCCAAGAUGGACAGGUCAUAGUGGAGAGUUUUGACCAAACGUGAUCCACCUGGAGCAGGAACCGGCAAGCCACUCCAGUAUCCCUGCCAAGAAAACUCCAUGGACAAAGACAACAACAACUGAAACACUUCUUUGAUGUAUCUAGAUGCAGCCCAGAAUGCUGGACUAGAUGGGCUUUUGGCUCAUCUUAGGUCAAAGGAAGAAUUUCUUCCCGCAAACAGAAACUGAAGAGAGGCAGCAGUAGCAUACUCUCCCACGUGUCACAGCGGGAAACCAGGAUGCCCAUCUUCUGGUGCGCACUCCCACGCAAGUCAUGUGACCCACAUUUUUGGGCACCAUCCUCUCAUGAAAGAGCAACCCCCCCAAAAAAAGGGAAGUUCCAAUUUAGUCGAGACCAUUGAGGGUUGUGCUGUAGAUCCUGAGGGCACCUCUGUUGACACUAUGCAAAUGUGCUGUUGCUGAUUGGCUAACCACUUUUGCAGACAUUAGCAGGUUGCACCUGCACCAAGGGUUGCUAGCCAAUCAGAGACCACGCACACAUGCCCUGUGCUGACAGUCAGACGCUGCCUCUGCUGAUGUUAGUGCUGCGCUGAAAUUUUAUCCUGCCGGUUCUUUCCUGACCGUUCCCCACCAAUUUAUGAUAAAAGAAAUGGCAUUCCAAAACCACAAAGUGGGAGGGGAGACAUUUUGUAUGUGGAGAAAUUUGCAUGUGUGGGAUGUAGGGCUUUUGUUCUGCUUUGGAUAUAGCUCAGUGAAAGAAGUCACCAGAUAACUUUUUCCCUUGGGGUUUUUUCAGCUUUCAAAGGUCAGGGAGCUGCAGAAGACUGUGCUACACCCAUAAAACCACAAGGUUUCACCUUAGUCCCUCUCUAACCUACUGGUUUCUGACUGGGUUCUAUGCCAUCCUGUUAGGUUCUUCCAGGACCUCCUGUGACCUGCCAUGUUCAGUCCUAGGUCCUUCUCCCCAAGUUCCACUUUAUUCCUCACUCAGGUGGAACAGCUCAGUGGUACAACAUAUGCAAAGGAUCCUAGUUGGAUCUGUGGCAUCUCCAGACAGAGAUGGGAAAUGUUAUUGCCUGAAACGCUGCAGAGCCAUUUUCAACCAGCAUGGAAAACACUGAGCUAGGUGGAGUUGUGAUAUGGUGUGCAGCACAUGGCAUGUUGCAAUGUUGCUAAUAUCAAAAGUUGGCAACCCUAAGUAAUAACUAUUUCCCGAGACUCAUUUCAGAUUGUUUAAGAAGCAAUGGAGCAGAGGAGUCAAGAGAGAGAGACACAGAGAGAGAAACUAUGCAACAGAAGAUCUGUUUUUAAAAGCAGGUAGACGUGAAGUCUCUUGAAAAGAUCUUAUUGAAGAAAAUAAAUGUGCUGUUUGCUUAGCUGUAGAUUCAUAGCAGGGAUUAGUUCUUCACACACAGAAGAUCAGUUCCACUUCUGGAUGUGUAAUCUUAUAUAAAAAAACCCCCAACAUCCCUAUUUUUUAAGUACACAGGAAAGAAUUCACAGCAACUCAAAGUACGGUAUAUGUUUGCGAGUUCUUGCUAAAUAACAGCUGUGGAGUAACAUGCAGUCUGUUUUCUGAGAUGUGUUCACCAAACUUCUGAGAGGUUAUUUAUUUACUUAAUAUACUUAUAUGCCAACUUUACUGGGCAAGAAGCCCUUCCAAGCGGCUUACAAGACUUUAGAAUCAGAAACAAUAACGAUUAUUCAAAGUUAAAGCUAAACAAUUUUUUUUAAAAAAGCUAAAAUACAACCUGCUUAAAAAUUCAAUAAAAAGAAAGCAAGUUUUUUUUUUUAAAAAAAAAGUUUAAAACUUAAAAGUUAUUAGUGGGUGAACCGUAUGGACUUACUCCUGAUCCCCAUAGACACACAGGAAGUGGGUGUUGCUAUUGCUCAGGCUUUACUUUGAAGAGGAGGGGGAACCUCAGUCUUGGCACUGAAAGUGACCCUCUAAGCCUUUCUAUCUGAGCCCUGGGAUUCUCCCCAGACCACAACCCCCCUCCAACCACAUCCCCUCAAGGCCCUGUUUCCUAACAUCCUUGAGUUGGGCGGGAGCUUAUUAUUGGCAAUAGUUCCCUUUUAAACUUCUUUUGGGAGGUGGGGAAAAAAAGAGAAAUCACAAAACAACAACAACACAAGAUCAGACAGCAGCCUUAAUUCUACAGCAUACAGUGAUCAUACUAUGAAUCCAGAUAAGGUUUACGGCUCAGUCUAAUAUUGACCAUUCUGUUUACAUCUUACAGGCCAGCCCAUUCAACUCUGAAGAGAGGUUGUAAAUAUUCUCAUGCACGUGGCCGUGAAAUCAUGCCACCUCACAACAUCACAUAAUUCUGAGGGGGCAUUGGGGAGGGUGGUAAAUAAUGGCAGCCAACAGAGGGUGCCAUUUUCCUCUCAGACGACCCAUUGGAACACUACUAGAACAUACAGAGACACAGUGAGCAACCUCCUCUGUGGGUGGGAACUUCAUUUUUAAUGGCACACUAUUGAGGCACAGUUUAGGAAUUACUGGUGGGGGAAGGCUGAGAGAAAUUUAGUUCCAACUGUACAUCCAUGACAUUAACAGCAUAAUCUGGAAGGAUUUUGGAUUCUGAUUAUGUUGCAAUUUGGAUAACCCAGCAUAGACACUGUUUGAAUAAGGUCAUUGAACCCAAGAGGAUGAUAUUCCAAAGGAGGCCCAUGAAAUCAGCUUCCUUGAAACAGUAAAAUCUACUCCAAAAGGUCUGGAUUCUCAAAGGAUCCUGAUAAAAAGUUUUAGAGGCCUAAAAUAUAGAAGGUUUGUGUUUCUUUUUUUAAAAAAUUACUGGUAAUUCCCUGAUGAGCAAACUAGUAAAUAUCAGAGUCUCCCUUGACUAAGCAUUUCUUAUCUGUUCUCUCCAAAUCUGUUUUGUUUGUUUGACCUGAGGAAUUUCCACAAAUGAAUAGGCAAGCAGUUGGGCAACAGUAAUGUAAAUGUUCACAGAUUCUUCUUUUCAUCCCAUGUGAGCUUCGCCCUGACACCUGAUAAGAAUUUUCAGCCUUAUCAAGCAGGCCAGGAGCAGUAAUUAAUAUGCCACACCAAACUAACUCAUCUCCAGCUUUCUUCCCCCUGUUGAAAUGUAAUUGUCACAAUUUACUACCUUUCUUCCCAGCUUUAACUUUCAUCCCAUGUUGGUAUAUCUUUGAAAUCACAAACACCAGGUAGAACACCUGAGCAGUUCUACCUAAAUGAACGCCUGGCCAAAACCCCUCCUUCAGUUUCUCAAAAGUUUUUUCCCCCCCUCUGUUAAAGAGAUUUCCAUUUUUCUGUCUCUUUCUUCGGGCCCUUUAGAAUUUCAGUAGGUGUUGGGUUGGGCUUAUCUUAUUAUUGCAUGUGCGUAGGGUGUGUGCUUGUUUCCAUGGAAUAUUUCUCUGGAACUCUGCAGCCCUCCCACCUGCCAACACUUCCUGACCUGAAAAAAGGUCCAUGGAAAACGUUAUCUGAUGACAUCUUUCCUCAAGCUUUAUUGGAAGCAUGAGGAGCCAGGGAGGCUGGCUAUGGAGCACCUGAGAGAGGUGUGGUCACUAAUUUUGUUUUCCAGCCCACUGGAGAGAUGUGAACGGAAGAAAGGACACCCACAAACAAACUUUGAGCAGCUUGAAAGCAAACAAAAGCCCAGGAUCCCACCCAUGAGAAUGUCUCCAAAUACAUAUUCUCCCCAAUAAUUUCACAGUCAACCCUCUCUUCCCAGGGAACUCUGGGAAUUGCAGUUAUGAGAGGGGACCAGACACCUCCUAACAGGUCUUAUUACCCUUAACAAGCUCACAUUCCAGGAUUCUUUUUGUGGAAGUCAUAACUGUUUAAAGUGCUAUGAUAUUGCUUUAAAGUGCAAAGUGUGGACAGGGUCUCAGUCAGGGCCAGCAGACAAACCAGAAGUCUGUUCACCUUCAAAGGUGGGUUGUAUAGUCUGGUUAUUUUCCCUCAGGGAACUGUAGGGUCAUGGGAUCUUGGGACACAUGGUGAGGUAGCGAAUCAAGCCAUAAGUCAAGAUGAAGAGUAAGUCAGAACUGAAGGGCAAAGCAGAUGGCAGUAUCAAGGAACACGUCAAAGAUUUGUUGUUGUUUAGUCAUUUAGUCAUGUCCGACUCUUCGUGACCCCAUGGACCAGAGCAGGCCAGGCACUCCUGUCUUCCACUGCCUCCCACAGUUUGGUCAAACUCAUGUUAGUAGCUUCAAGAACACUGUCCAACCAUCUUGUCCUCUGUCGUCCCCUUCUACAUGUGCCCUCACUCUUUCCCAACAUAAGGGUCUUUUCCAGGGAGUCUUCUCUUCUCAUGAGGUGGCCAAAGUAUUGGAGCCUCAGCUUCAGGAUCUGUCCUUCCAGUGAGCACUCAGGGCUGAUUUCCUUCAGAAUGGAUAUGGUUGAUCUUCUUGAAGACCAUGGGACUCUCAAGAGUCUCCUCCAGCAACAUAAUUCAAAAGCAUCAAUUCUUCGGUGAUCAGCCUUCUUUAUGGUCCAGCUCUAGGACUAAAGAAUAAGGAGAUACAGGCAGCAACCAUUUUAGGCACAUCCAAAGUGACCCAAAAAAAUCACAAAAAGGGGUGGCAUGGGGCAGGGGUGGGACAGGGAUUUUGCAAUGGGUGUUCGAUUAUAUGCGAUUUCACACAAGUGCUCAAUUAAACAGAACAUGACCCCCAUGCCUAUGGGGAGUUGCCUGUAUAAAGGAAUACACCAGCACUCUAGAAGAUUCUGUUGCUCAAGUAAAGCCCUUUUUGUACUCCUUUCUGCCUAGCAUGACUCAACAGCCAGCCUGGGUAGGCGGAGCCAGUCCAAGACCUGAAGGUAAUUGGUUGAGAAGUGUUGCCACUUGCAGUUCAAUGGGUCACCACACAGGGGAGCUGCACACAGAUCCAGCAGCUCUUGCCAUCAAUACUCAGAGACACAUGUCUGUAUCAGUAAAAUAACACACAAAAUAAUGCAUCGUCAUAGCAAUAACGUAGGAGAAGAGAUUCCUCCCCCAGUGCCACUUCCACAAAUCAAAUCACCUCCCCCUGCCCAGGGCUACUCUUAAACUUAUUUGGGGAAAGACCCUAUCUUGGUCGCCAUCAAAACAUGUACUUUAGCCCUCAGCCUGGAACGCUGCUGUGCAUGGAGAAAACCUGCCCUCUGUCCCCAAUGGCCAAAGUUAAUGGGGUGGUGGACCAGCAUUUGAUCCCUUCUAAACCAUCUCAUGGGACGCGGGUGGCGCUGUGGGUUAAACCACAGAGCCUAGGACUUGCCGAUCAGAAGGUUGGCGGUUUGAAUCCCCGCGACGGGGUGAGCUCCCGUUGCUCGGUCCCUGCUCCUGCCCACCUUGCAGUUCGAAAGCACGUCAAAAUGCAACUAGAUAAAUAGGUACUGCUCCGGCAGGAAGGUAGAUGCUCUGGUUCGCCAGAAGCGGCUUAGUCAUGCUGGCCACAUGACCCAGAAACUGUACACCAGCUCCCUCGGCCAAUAAAGCGAAAUGAGCGCCGCAACCCCAGAGUCGGCCACGACUGGACCUAAUGGUCAGGGGUCCCUUUACCUUUAAACCAUCUCAUAGUGUGUGUGAAACGUGGAAACACACUGUGCGCAUUUAACAGGUUCCCUGCAACAAGGCAUUUUGCGAAUACAAAUUAUGGCUCGAGUGUGCAAAGCAGCUGAUGUUCCUUUGGGUAAAAGCUUGACGGCAGUGUCAUGCUGACUUUUUCUCUUCCCACAACCUUCCCUUGAUGUCUCAACAAAGCGUGGUCAAUGGCAGUGACUGUUGGCUCUUUUGAUUGCUUCCUUCCCGUAGUUUUCAGUGAAAGUAAUUGAAUGAAGGAGGGGGGGGAAACCUUGAUAACACUUCAUAUUCUUUCUAAUUUGUCAUUUCUGGGCACACCAGGGAUAAAGAUGACCUUUUGAAUUUUGACCUAACUUUUUGGUAACGGGCAGCAUCUUCACUCCUGCUUUUCAUUUCCAUGAAUACUGCAUGCCUCUCUCUCUGCCCCAGUAUAAAGCUAUUAAUAUUGUUCUAUUAACCUUUCUUCCAAGUACCACUGACCUUUCCCCUAAAAAGACAAUUACUGUACUUUUAUCCUUAACAAAUCUCAUUUAUUAGAAAGUUUUGCACAGCACUGGCUAAGGCUGCAUCUCUAACUAUCUCAUAUUUCUUUAUGUUCACAUUGCUGUGAUAAAAGAAAGCAAAUCAAUCGGUGCCAGUGCGUGGAUGACAGGGGGAAUCACUGGGCGUUUGGGUCCUAUUUGGGUUCUGUACAAAAAGCUACCCAUCAUAAUGGCAAUGUGCAACAAUUGCCACUUGCUAAUGAUCAAGAACAUAAGGACACAAGAAGAGCCCUGCUGGAUCAGGCCCAUCUAGUCCAGGAUCCUGUUCUCACAGUGGCCAACCAGAUGCCAAUGGGAAGUUUGCAAGCAGGACCUGAGUGCAACUGUACCUUCCCUUCCUGUGGUUUUCAACUGCUGGUAUUCAGAGACAUUGUCAUCGUAGCAAGUAGCUGCUAAUAUUCUUGUCCUCUGUGAAUGUGGAUAGCCUUCAAAUUGGUGGCCAUCACAGCCAAAUGUGGAAGAAAAUUCUGUAGUUUACCUAUGUGCUGUGUGAAGGAUUUUAUUUUGAAUCUUCCAACAUUUCAGCUUCAUUGGAUAUCCACAAGGGCUAGCUAGUGCCAUAAGAGAGGGAGAAAGAAACUUUUCUCUUCUCGCUUUCUCCUUACCCUUCAGAGUCCUCACUGUAGCUCUGAGAAGGGACGUUCCUGACAGAGUGGUACUAUUACUUUCCUUGAUUUGGACAUUAUCUUCUGUUGAUGCAGCCUAGAAUAGCAUUAGCUAUUCUCAGAAGGAACCUAAAGGAAUGAGAAACCUACAGGAACGCCUCUCCAGUUGAUCUCAAAGAAUUAGGGUGUUUCCAGACUGCAAGGUUCAGUUGCAUACCAGCAAAUUCAGGUGGCAAACGUAAGUGUGGACGGGAGGCCUUGCACAACAAACCUGCUUCCCUUGAAGACGGGACUUUUUGCAGUGUGAAAAGUGAUGGGGAAAUAAUGAGAAGUGUGGGUUAACCCUUGCUUGAUGCCACAUUAUCCCAGCUCCCUGCAAACAAAUUAGGAUGAAUAAUCAAUAAACAGGAAGUGCCAUUGGAAGGUUUAUGUGGGAGGAGAUAUUCCAUUAACUAUGAGAUUCUCCUAAUAUCUGAAGCAAACUGUUUGGUUUGUAGAAGGAUGUUGUAAGCCAAACGCCUAAUUGCAGCAAUCUGGCUGCUGGGUCUUCUUUCUUUCACUUCCCCUCUUCUUUUUCUUACCUUGCGAUUAAGAUUUAUUUAGUGGGAAUCCAAGUGGGUGGCAGAUGUGAGGAGGGGAGCUCCCUUGAGCUGCAAGUUGAGGUAAAUAGUGUGUCAUAACCCAUUCAUCAAUUGGUAAUGCAAGAAAAAUAGAAAUAUCUGCACGAGGAAAGGAAUUGGCAAGCAUUUUGCCCAGGGAAUGGCAUGGAUCAUAAGGGAAUCAGGUGGAAUUUUGCCUUUGCAAAGGAAACACUCAUUUAGGUGUCUGUGAUAGGAUAGCUGAUAGGAAUGGAUGGUCGUGUUAUGGAUCAGAGAGGAAGCAGCUUUGGCGUUUUUGAGCAGAACCACCCAAGAACUGUAUGACAGAGACAAGUAUUUCAAUUUAGCAUAUGAAUCUUUUAGGAGAAUGGCUUGAAGAUUAUAACACACCUGGAAGAGGAAUCAAAUAAUUGUCAUGUUUCUCAAAUGGCAGGCCCAACAUCAAUCAUUUCCCCAAGCACUCUGUCUGGACGAUUUUUAUACUGUCUCUUUAUGUCUUUCUGCAGUGCGUGGAUUGUCGAUGAAGAUAAAGAGAGUGAAGCUGGAUGAUACAUCUUAUGAAAAUCCACAGUAAUCACAUGUUCCUUCAGAAUGUGUUGAUAGUGCAACAUAUUCUGGAGGUGAGAUCCUGCGUCACUUAAAGUCAAGAGAUUUUAUCCUGGAGUCUACUUACAAGUGCUUAGUCUAUCACAAUUGGUGGUUGAGGAUGACCAGUUGUGGAGGAAUAUAGCCAAAUACUGCUAUAGCCAAAGGAUCUAUGGCAGAUUUGAGGAACAUUUGGCAAUCCAGAUGUAACUGAACUACAACCCCCAUAAGCUCUAGUAAGCACUGCCAAUGGCCAGGGAUGAUGGGAGUUUUAGUUCAGCAACAUCUGGAGGGUCAAAGGUUACUCACACCUGUUGUAUAAGUACACAUGUUAGGAAGCUGUUUCUUGUGCAAUUCUCAGACACAUCCAAGCCCAGUGUAACCAGUGUGUCGACCAGGUGCCAUAGCAUUACCGCAAAAUGUGUAUUAUUUUACAGAAGGGACAAUGGAAAGAGAAAUAUAUUUUGCAUAUAUUCAAUGACAAAGGUGAGGUUGUGGGGUCAAGCAGAGAGUUGGACUAGAUGACCCUUGUGGAUUCUUCCAACUCUACAAUUCUAUGAGCACAAUGGUGCCCUUAUGACCUUCCUCUGGUGCUUAUGAAGCCUCUGAGACACUCCUCCCACCCUGCCCCCCAUCCUUCCUGCUUGGUCAAGGAUGGGUACCUUUUUUUCCUCCCUUGAAAAGGAGAGCGGAAGGAGGAAGUUAGAAGAGUGACGCUCUUUCCCACUUCCCCUUUCAGCUCUAUGUGCCUUUCCAGAGUCAGAUGAAUUCUACUAGACAUAAGUUUUACGCAGAUCCCUCGGGAAAGCGAGGUGUAUGCAAUUGUGUGCUCUUUCUCUUUCUGCCUCUUGCAAAGUAUGGGGUAGCCUAUCUCAAGGAGGGGGGUGUUGCACACAAUACUCAUUCCAAAAGCUAAAUGGGCCUAAAGAGGUUGGCCACCUUGCCCGUAUGAUGGGAUUAGGUAGUUCUCUCCUUAAUUUGCCAAGCAGAACAGAAGAUGCCACACGCUUGCCACCAGGAGAAGCUACUACGAUAUGGCGUAAAGCUGCACUAUAUGGUAGUAUAUAAGGUGCUUUGACAUGGGAGGAGGAGUCCGGUUCCCUUAUCCCAACGAGCUUACAAGAGCCUAACCCUCUGAUCCUGCUCUUCAGCAUCCUUGCUCACUUAUGCUGAGAGACAAGGGGCCAUAGUUCUGAUGUAAAGUGGAAACACAGGAUUAUGAAGGAUGAUAAGAAAGUGGGUGGGGUUGCCUGAAGACGCAAGUUUCAAAGAGGGAUUGGAAGGAGGAGAGAAGGGUGGUUGAUGGAUGGGAAGGGAAAUGCGGUGUGACUCUUACUGGGCUAGAGGGGGAGGACUUGAGGGUGAGACACUUUCCUCUGUUUCUGAUGUGGGUAUUAGACUAAUGGAAAGACUCUGAUGAAAACUAAAGGCAAACAAAUGGGUUUCUUCUCCUAUUAAAAGCCCUGCCUUGCUUGUUAAGCUUCCUUUGAGUAAACAAAAGUGACAGCUUUUGUUUUCGUAGAAAAUUUGCCGACAGGCGCAAAAGAUGGUAAGGAUCACCUGUAUUUUCUUUUCAUCCCCCCCUCCUCCUCCCAUUUCUCCUCCCAUCCUCUUUGAAAUUUAUUUUCCGGGAGUCUUUUAAAAUUCAGAUCCUAUCGUUGGUAACAAAUGAUGUGAAGUCUUAGGUACAGUACUUGCAGUCUGUGUUUGUUAAAAUGAAGGAAGAGACCCUUCCAACACUUUGGGAUUUUUAUGAAUGAUUUACAUCUGGUGCUAAAGUUCAUAAAUGAAACGUGGGGGAACCAGAUGCUUCAUUUCUUGACUGCAUCGUGUCUGCACAUACUGAUGGUGAAUUGAAAACAGAGAUGUCUCAUAAAUCAACCAAAUCUAUUUUUGUACUCUCAAUUUCCAUUCCGAAGAUCCAUAUAACUCCCAAACAAAUGUAGUAAAAUUGCUUCCUUGAGAAACCCUUUGUGUUUAGUAACAGUGUGGACAUGUUAAUAAAAGAGCAGGGGAGGGGGGCGGAGAGGGGAGCUUGAGCAGAAGCGAGAAAAGCCAACUCGUUCCUUAGAAUAAAAAAAAAAUCAUCUACGCUCAGGAUGAAUGACUGCUCAUGGAGAUCAAUGCAGAAGGUAUGACAUUUAGCAAAACAGAUGGAGGGACUCUGUCGAAAUAUUAGACGACUCUUACCAUUUAUACAAAAGGGCUGCAGUUGGUGAGAACUGAGAGGUUGCCUCCAGACUGCCUGCGUUUUGGGGAAGAGAUUCAGGCAAAGAUCCAAAAUUUAGGUUUGCACAAUAAAAGUACUCUGUCACCCCUGGUGCAGCAAACCAACUUUUCUUAAAAAGCUGCCUUUUCACGGUUAGGAAAGUCAUGUGGAAUUACACUGAAAAAUGUGGGAUGAACUGUUGAUUAAUGGAAAGCUGUAUAACCACUGCACAAGCAAAGCAGGACAAAUUCAGGAUGAAUGCUCGUUGUAAUAUAACCUCCCCACAAGCGAGCAAGAAUGAAUGAAUGCUCAAGAAAGGCUGAACAUCUUCUAAACUCUAUGGUAGGUUUGUACAAGCAAAUCAUGAUUGUUCAAUAAACAGGUUGCCAGCAGAGGAGGACCACCAAGAUAAAGCAUCCGCAAACUAAGUCUUAUGAGUGAUGGUUGAGGGUGUUGGGUAUGUUUUGCCUGGAGAAGAGAAGACUAAGAAGUGAGCCAUCUUCAUAUCUCAAGGGCUGCAAUGUGGAAGAUGGAACAAGCUUGUUUUCUGCUGCUCCAGAGGGCAGGGCCCGAACCAAUGGAUUCAAGUUACAAGAAAGAGAUUUCAGCUAAGAACUUUCUGACAGUUGGAGCUUGCACCACAGGGAGGUCACAUCAGUGCUGCUACCACAGCAUAAACAACAUGGGAGGCAGAGGUUAUGAGUUACUGGUCUCUGCAGCCACAGCAGACGCUGUGAUUCUCCAGUGGUUUGAUUUCACCCUUAGAGGCACACUCCAUUGUCUCUCGAGACAGAUGGCUGCCAAAAACCACCUAUUAGUGCCAGGGCUGUCUUAAGCAUAUGUACCGCAGGGGUGCAAAAAUCCGCCCAGGGCCCCCCCCCUUCUGGAUGGAGCUGCUGCGGCCGGAGCUCGGUUGGAUGCCAGAUGUUGCUAACAGGGAGGGGGUUAAAAAUCAAAUCAAAUGGCCAGGGACUCUGCCGAGCUGAUUUGUCACCUGCGUUGCCCUCCCUGCUCACAUGUUGCCCUCUGUCUCCAGCAAGGUGACUAAAAUUUUGGAGGCAGAGAAAGGGAAGGAGGAAAAUUAAGGCAGGCGGCUGCCGGGCACCCAAGUGGCAAGACUCUGCGGGCAGCUCAUGAAAGCCUGUCCAGGGACCCGGAGCGCCUGCUUGCUUUGGUCCCAUGGUGCUGCAGCACCUUAAGACUUUGACGACUCUACUGUCAGACACUGGGCAGGAGGACGGGCUGUUGGGGUGGAGAGCCGCCCGCAGCAGAAGAGCCUGCUGCGGCGCUCCGACCGAUGGGCGGGCUCUUCCCCGGACUCAACUCUUGGGCCCUGGACUCUCGGCCUGGUGCCCCUGAGAGCCCAGCGCCUGGAUGCCCCACACCCAAGCGCCUAUGCGUAAGACGGCCCUGAUCAGUGCCCAGGAAGGUGGAUGCUGUUUUGCACAAGAUCCGUGUGUGGUGGAACGUUGCCAUUGCUGCCGCUUCCCUGGAUAGGGCAGAGCAGCAGGAAGGUUGAGGACAUGUGGUCGCACUGCCGAAAGUGUUGCCUCAAAUCUGGUGCUCUACUUUGCCACCACCCCUUCUAAGCAACAGCAAUGGCCGUGUCAGGGCACGGCAUCCCAGUAACUCCGCCCCACCAGACAUGCUGUUACUGACCUUGCUCCUCCAGAUGCCAAGAUGCUGUGCCGCAACCUGUGCAGAGAUACUGCGAGGAGUUCCUGAAAUACGCUUUUUCUCGCCUUGGGCAGCAUCUACCCCCAGCUUCCUCUUCAUGCAAAGAGGAACUUCCCGAAAGCGACACUACCAUUCUCUCCUCUCCCUUAGUUACCAUUAUGUUCAAAAUAUGUCCUUUCCGAAUGCAACUCUCUAUAUGUCAUAAAACACAAAGGGAAGUGCUUUUCAUGCCAAAUAUCAGAAAAGUGCUCUCUUUUUCUCAACUGCCCAAGUAACAGAAAUGAUGUGUUCAUUUGAAAUUCCAUUCAUGUAGGCCCUAAUAAAAGCUAUUAUAAAAUACAAUUGUGUGGAGACAAAAAGAGAGAUAAUAUCGCUAUAGCUCAAUAUAAAAUUUAAGUAAUUAAGACAUGAAAACUAUUACACAAUUUACUUUGAAUGUGGCAUGAAUAAUAAAAUGUUUAACCAUUCCUUUCCCAAAUUUUAUGCUUUUUUUUUUAAAAAAAAAAACCACGGUCGAGGUUUUAAAAUGCUUGGCUAAAGAUCCAUUCUCUGCAUUCUUUUGCAAAAUGAGCAGUGUGAGUGAAUUUAGGUGGGCUUUGAAAAGGUGGUCCGUAUCUUGGAAAAGUGCACUGUUGGCUUGCUGAUUUAUCAAGUGUAUUAAUUGCCCUUCCACCUAGAAGGCAACCAAGUUGAUACAUGCAAUUCAUCACAAGCAAAAAUAAAAAGAAAGAAAGCUAAACCAACAAUCAUUCCUUAAACACACAAACAAAAUUAGGCCUCAAUAUACCUGGAUGUUGAUGAUUACAAAGAGGUGGGGAUUGCCAUCUACACCUGACUUCUCUUAUUUAUUUUAUUUUAUUUUAAAUAUGUUUUUAUUUAUUUUAUUCCAAUAUAUAACAAAUACAAAACAGAGAAAAAGAUACAAAAAACAAGAUCCCAGCUUGCAUCCCACUCCCACAUUUCUUCUAAGGAGCCCAGGGUUACAAAUUUUGUUCCUCUCUCCCAUUGUAUCUUCACAACACCCCUGUAAAGUAAAUUGGGAGGAAAAUCUAGGGGAGCACAAUUGCUUCAGCCACUUCUGGGGCACCACAACUAUGACAUCCAACAGAAGGUGAGAGGUGAGGGGUGGAUUUUGACAUUACACAGGGCACCACUGAAAUUUGAGCUGCCAAGGUUCUCCACUGCCUGGGCCAGCUCUAUGUCUAGCCUGCUGUCAGUCAUUUUAUGUUCAAAAAUAACAGGUGCAGCAGCAGGGGAGGCAACUUGAAUAAAAUAUGGAGAGGCAGGUAAGCCCCGCCCUAAUCACAUGACACAGAACACAUAUACAGCAUUUGAAUGGCAAUGCCCAUCAACCUUUGGAGGGCCUGGUCCCCUCAAAUAUUUUAUAGGGGGAGGCAAGGGACCUCGGCCCCUAGGAUUUGGCUCCUGUGUGCAGCAGAAAGGGGGGAGCAGCAUUAUAUGUCGAAAACAUGUAUGCCUGCAGAGAAAUUCAAAAGAGUGGACAUAUUAACCUUGUGGAGAACAGCCAGGUAAGAAUAAUGGAAGAAAUAUAAAAAAGACAUUGUUGUUGUUUCAGAAAGGGGAGGGGGUCACCUGGUGGGCUGGAGCUGCUAUGCUUAGCUUCCCACCAGAUGGGUCACUGUUGCUUAGCAGCAGGUAGAAGGAUGAGGCAACAGAGAGGUCAGCAUGGCUCAAAUACAAGCUGAUGUGUUUGUGCCAUGCUGAACGCCCCUGAUAUUUUGAUGCCUCUAGUAAGCAGCAGUGACUUUGUCGCAAAAGGCCCCAGGCACAAUCCCUGGGGAAGUGGGGACACUUAUGGUCAGGGAGAACUGUCCUCCUGACAGCAGCAUCAUUGCUGCUAAACAAGGCUGGGAGAAGGAGCAGCAAUGUUGGGGCCACACAGUUGCUCAUAUGAAGCAACCACGCGGCUUAGAUAACAUACAAGGAUGUGGGUGGCGCUGUGGUCUAAACCACUGAGCCUCUUGGGCUUGCCAAUCGGAAGGUCAGCGGUUUGAAUCUCCACAAUAGAGUGAGCUCCCAUUACUCUGUUCUGGCUUUUGCCAACCUAGCAGUUCGAAAGCAUGCCAGUGCAAGUAGAUAAGUAGGUAUCGCUGUGGCGGGAAGGUAAACGGUGUUUCUGUGUGCUCUGGUUUCCAUCACGGUGUUCCGUUGUGCUGGAAGCGGUUUAGUCAUGCUGGCCACAUGACCCAGAAAACUGUCUAUGGACAAACGCCGGCUCCCUUGGCCCAAAAAGCGAGAUAAGCGCCACACCCCUUAGUUGCCUUUGACUGGACUUAACCGUCCAGGGGUCCUUUUUUACCUUUUACAUAACAUAUAAAAUAUACAUUAAAAUUGCUCAUAAAAGAACAUAGACUAUUCCUGCCCCCUAAGAUCACCAUUGUAUGUAUGCAUGUAUGAUUUAUUAUAUUAUAUUAUAUUAUAUUAUAUUAUAUUAUAUUAUAUGCAUUAUACAAAAAAAAUCAUGUUAAAAUAUGUGUCAAAUUUACAUGGCUGGGUAGCCUUAAAACAAAAAAAGCUUUUAGCAGAUGUCCAAAACGAUGUAGCUAGGGCAUUUGCCUUACUUAAACAGGCAGCAAGUUCCGAAGUGAAAGUGCUGCCACAGUGAACGAUCGAUUCCUGGAAAGUGCAGAACGAACCUUUUGCCCAUUUUGCAGACUGAAGUGGUCAAGAGGGCAGAGACAAGGUAAAGUGAUCCAUCUUUAUGUACCAAUAGUACCAGCUUGAAUUUAACCUGGUCACAAAUUGACAGCCAUCGCAGAUUUCUGAGCAAAUAGGCAGGCCUGGAUAUCGCUCAAAAUAUAUGAGGCUGCUGCUAAAAGAACCCCAAAACCUACCACCCCAAACCCCAAUCCUUUUUACAUAUUGGAUAAUAGCAAUACUGUGCUUCACUAGGACAUAACUUGGAGCCAAUAAUCCUGUCUCAUCCCUGCGCUGAUUCAAAAGCCAUGUUUUAUACCCAUGCAUGCUACCUCGCCUAUUUUUAAAUAAGGUGCCAUGCUUUUUUUUUGUCUUGUCUGCAGAUCCCUUUGUCUCUGUUUUGGCAGCUUUGGGUGCCUUCCAAUGGAGGACAUUGUCCCCAGGCAAAUUCAGCUGUCGUUCAAAGGCUCAGUAGGUGGCACUCUUUCCUUUGCUGAUGCACUAAAAGGAUGCCCUCAGCACAAAGCAGGCUGAUUUAGUAACCUUGAAGGAAGCUGCACCACAAUCAUUAGCUCAGACAUUGGGGUACCAUAUCUGAUAAUGUGGGACAGUAAUGGAGGACACACCCCCCCCGCACACAUCUAACUCUCUCAUGGACCUCGGUUAGGGUGUGAGAGUGGUCCUCCUGCUGUGGCUUCUACCUGCUACCGAACAUUCCCUUUGCCUGUAAAAGCCACAAACGAUUAUGUGCCUCUCAAGCUAGUCACCGGACAAACCUUCUUCCUUAAUGACAGGAAAAUUAGUUCCUUCGUUCUCAAGGAAAUGUGAAUUGGCUUGCUGGAUUAGAGUACGUUUCCAGUGGUGGUUGGCCAGAUGUUCAAGGCUGGGUCAGGUUUUAGGGAGCCCUGGGCAAGGGGACCUGCACUACCACCUGGUAUGCCACCAUGCUGGGCCUAUCCAAGUCCUUGCCACCUGCUGCCACCCUUUCUGAGAAGCUUACCAGGUGUUGGGCAGGGAUCCCAUUUCUUCUUCUUUUUAUACUUCUACUAGAGUGCUGUAUGCCCUGCAAAGCUGCAGCUGCCCAACAUAUUAUUUCUUCUUUGGCGAUCACUCGUAGCCGAGUAUGAUUGUCUUCCAUAAACACUGUUUUAAGAAUGAGUCCGUAAGUGACUGUGGAAGCCAAUUCUGGAUCCACACAUCCUUCCACAGUGGGGACAUUGGUUUCUGGGUGGGAGUUGACCACGGUGUGGAUUUGCCAACCAUGCCUUCCUCUUGGCACGUUUCUCCCUUGCGUCCUGAGUUCAAGCAUCUUCAAAGCCCAUGACACCUUUUGCUAAAGGCUGUUCUCCAAUUGGAGCGCUCAGAGGCAAGUGUUUCCCAGUAUAAAUGUUUAUACUACAUUUUUUUAGAUUUGCCUUGAGACAGUCUUUAAACCUCUUUUGUUGACCACCAGCAUUACGCUUUCCAUUUUUAGGAAUAGAAUAGUUGCUUUGGAAGACAAUAAUCAGGCAUCCACACAACAUGACCAGUCCAACGAAGUUGAAGACUCAUUAUUUAAGAGACUAAGGAGAGCCUGGCUGGAGCAGACGAGUGGCCCAUCUACUCCAGCAUCUAGUUCUCACAGUGGCUAACCUGAGGCCAGUAGGAAACAAGCAAGCAGGAUCUGAGAAGAAGAGCUCUGCCCUUCUUGUGCUUUCCAGCAAAUGGAAUGCAGAAACAUUGUUGCCCUCCAACCAUGGAAGCAGAGCAGAGCCAUCACUGAUAUCCUCAAUGAAUUUAUCUUAACCCUAUUUUAAAGGCAUCCAAGUAUGAGCGCCUUGCAGGAUGUGGCUUUUAAGAAUCGCAUUGCUUUAUUCCAGGGGUAUCUAGCCUGUGUUGGAGUCCAUAUGUUGCUGGACUCCAACUCUCAUCAGCCCAAGCCAAUAUGGUCCAUUAGUCAGAGAUGGCGGGAGUUCUAGUUCAGUGUUGGUGUUGACCUUUAAAGCCCUAAACGGCCUCGGCCCAGUCUCCACCCCCAUCAUUCUGUUUGGACACUGAGAUCCAGUGCCAAGCGCCUUCUGGCAGUUCCCUCACUGCGAGAAGCAAAGCUACAGGAAAGCAGGCAGAGGGCCUUUUUGGUAGUGGUGCCCGCCCUGUGGAAUGCCCUCCCAUCAGAUGUCAAAGAGAUAAACAACUACCUGACAUUUAGAAGACGACAUCUGAAGGCAGCCCUGUUCAGGGAAGUUUUUAAUGUGUGACAUUUUAAUGUAUUUUUAAUCUUUGUUGGAAGCCACCCAGAGUGGCUGGGGAAGCCCAGCCAGAUGGGCAGGAUAGAAAUAAUAAAUUAUUAUUAUUAUUAUUAGUUCAGGAACAUCCUGAAGGUCACACUUACUUUUUUUCCAACUAAAAAAACCACCCAUCACCAGCAACACCCGCAAGGCUCUGUGCCCAGUGAGACCAAACCAGCCACGUGCUUCUCUAAAUCCACAGACUCCCGGUCUGCUGUAAAAACACAAAACAGCCCACCAAAUCUGAAAACAGAUCUGCCUUGAGAUUCCCCCAUGGUCUGCACCAAGGGGUGUCUUCUGUUUCCACAAAGCGCAAGCCCUCUGUGUAUAGCUGUGUGGCUACAAUCAACACCUUGCUCUGAAGAUGCAGGAUUCAUUCUUCUUGACAAAAGCUGUACAAGUUUAUUCAGCAGCCAUCCAUUGUCUCUGUCUCCAGCAGAGGCAGGUGGAUUUCCUCUCCCCCAAGCUUUUAUCUAGGAAAAAGAAAUAAUAAGAAAAAAAAUUUCAAAGGUGUUUAUAAUGAAUUAAUCACUGCUGUUUUGGAGCACCACGUGCUUGCCAUGUCGCCAUGAGCACUUUGCCUUCAGUGCCUUAUGGCCUCUUCCUCCCCCCGCCCCUUCUCCUUUUAAUCAGGCCCUAUACUGCUGACAAAAUGACACUCUAAUAGGAAAAGACAUCAUUUGGAACAGUUAUUAAUAUAUAAAAGGGAACCAAGUCAGCAAAGGGUUAGUCGUAUAAAUGGCCAAGUUCAACAAGACACAAUUAAGGCUGCAUUAUCACACUCCCUGGAGCAUACAUGUCAAUAGAUAAAGUGGGAUUGUUUGUGGAGUGGGGGGAGGUCAGUUUAGCACUGAAAGCAUCUCCUUCAGUUUAACCAUUGGAAAGAUCAGCGUAAAUGGACCACGUUUAUGUAUUAGCUUGAUUUGCCACCUUCUCGUCUUGUAUAGUAAGGUCCAGUGGUGGUUGGUGCCCGUUGAUGCUGAUAGGGUUGAAGGCAGGGAGGCUGGCAGUAGGUGGCGCCAGAGAGCCAAUGACAGGUGCAGAGCUUGUCAGAACCUAGUUAGAAUGCAGGCAGGUGAGGACAGGCCCAGGGCAGACUGAAGGCUGGUAGGGCAGAGUCUCAAUUGCCUAAAUCGACAAAAGUCCGUGUUCACUAACUGAGUGGGCAUCUCCAAAAUUUCCAAACACUAUCGUUUUUAAAUAAAUGGUGUUGAGAUUUCUCAGUUCUGGAUUCUAGAGACAGCAUCAAAGAUCUUUCUUUAAAGAUUUAGUUAAAUUGAUACAUCUUUGCCUUUAACGAACUGGCUAAAUAUAGCUCUGUUGCUUGCUUAAUAAAACUCAGCCCCGAUUUGCCUUCUAUGAUAAAGAAUUUUAAAAUUAAAACCUACACUGAAGGAGAGAAAUGCUUUGUUGAAAAUUUUAUGAUUGUUGUGUCAAGCUAAUAAAGGCAGGUGGGUUUUUCCCCCCUUAAUCACAUCUCUUUUUUUUUUAAUGGUGGGAAAUACAAAAUUUAAUACCUUUGUGACUAUAAAAUGAGAUGCAAAUAGACGUAUUUCCAGUCGUGUCACUUUUAUUAAACAAGCCACACAUUUAUUAAUAAUCCACUGCUGUCAAGUAUCCUUCAGAAAGGGAAACUGAGCAAUUUGUUGUCAGUUGCAUAGCCUGCUUUAACCGUUGGCAUUACGACAAAAACAUGAAAGCACAAAUGGAAUCAGCUGCAACAAAACGUUGCAGUGUACAGUGCUGCUUUUUCGAGAUUCAGCCAGUGGCCCUCACCCUUUCCCAGAACACACUAUUCUAAAAUGGCACAGCAAAAUAAUACACUCCCCAUUCACUGAGCAACUUGGGGGAAUGGACGUAAGGGAGUAACCUCUGUAGAGAACAGUGAGGUGUACUUCAAAAUAGACAUAUCUAGGAUUGCACUGGUAAUUUCAUAGAUGCAAAUAACAGCUAUUGCCCAAUGCUUAUCCAGGCUUAAAGAAAGCAAACGAAGCUAACAUAUAUGUUCAUCUGAGUCCUCUCAGUAAUGUGCAUAUGAUGUCUCUUUAGUUCGACUGGCAAGGAUUAUGGGUUAACAAAGGUCCUUACAGCUCUUUGGUUCCACCCUUUGGCUUUUGAGCAAAACUUUUAUUCUGAACAAAUAAAAUUGUUGAUUUCCUAUUCAGCCCCAUUUGGGUCCUGUUCUGUCCUUCAACCCAUACUUAGCAUCCUCUUCCCAUUCAAGAAAUAUUAAUGAUCUGGGUCAAGCUGGUUUGAGAAUCAUCUGAUGAUUUUUGUUCAACCCUUCAUUCUCGUUCAGAAAAUAUGUUUAUCACUUGUACUCAAAGUACAGAUCAGUGGCAUACAGAUUUAUUCCAGUCAGUUUAAAAAAUUGUCCUUCUGCCAAAGUUUAAGUGCUGUGCUACUUUUUUUUCUUUUUCAUUAGAAAUUACCAAAUGUUCCAUCUUAAAAUAGACUGACAACAGGUCAGGCUGCUCCUGUUUAACUAUUCUGAACCUAGAAAUGUGGCAAAGUUUCUUCCCAGAUUGAUCUGUUGUGUAGCUACUCCUGGGGGCUGAGUACCUUAUUAACUAGCUAGCACCAAUUAAACCCUGGAAAUGUCAAGAUAUAAGAUGAUUCCCAGAGGGGUAGCUGUGUUUGUUGCAGGAAAAACAGAGAUCUGUGGCAUCUUAAAGUCCAUGUCAUGCGCCUAAUGAAUGGUACUCCACAAAAGUUUUUGCCACAAUGGAGUUGUCAGUGUUUAAGGUUCCACAAGAUUCUUUGCUGUUCUAGAUAAAAUAGCUGCACUGUAGACCCACUUUUGUUGUUUAGUCGUUUUAUUCUCCUUUUAAAGGCGCAAUCCCUGCAAGCUGUUUAUUGAAGUGCAGUUGCUGUAGGACUGAGACCUGAUGGACCUCCUUUUUUGUUUUCAUGAGAACCAGGUGGAAAAGUCAUAUGCUUAGAAUUAAAUAGCAGGUUGCCUCUGAGCCUAGGAAGUGGUUUUCGGUACCAAACUGAGUUCAUAGUCCUUCUACAAAGGAGCUCACUCUUGGUUACUUACUAACAUCUCUGCAUCCUUAACAAAGUGCAGUUCCCAGGAUCCUUUGGGGGGAAAUGCAAAUAGCGCCUCAUUUUGCUGUUGUCCUUGUUAGGCAAUGGCUGAUUCGCUACAAAUCAUCCAGAGUUCUGUCAGUAGCUCCACUUUUGGCUUAAGCCUGUAAGCUGCAUUUGUCUCAGUUUUUGAAAUGAAUAUUACUGUUUUCACAGGGGUGCUUUAGAGAGGCUGUCGAACUCCAAUUCCCAUCAGACACAGGCAGGGAUUAUGAGAAUUAUAGUCUAUGUUAUGUACUGAAGUUCUCACCCUGGGCCAGCAGGGGGAUACUGUAGAUAGUUCAGGUCCACAUAUGCAAAUAAGGGAUCAAAAGUGACGUUCAGUGAUUGGAUAGUUACAGAAAGUUGUUACAGUUAUGUUGUACUGGAGCUCUAUAUAAGCAGGCUGGCUGAACCCUUCAGUUCAGUUCUGUUCUGGCCUCUGAAUAAACAAGAGCUGUUUGAAGAAUCGCUGUGUUAUCUGAUAUGUUCACCCACAACAUAAGUCUAGAAUUACAGACACACUUUCCUUAACAGGGAUGCCAACUUGAAUAAAAUAUUGGGGGGGGGGUGCAGGUAAGCCCAGCCCCACAUAAUUAAUUACAUGAUGUGCCAUACGCACACUAUUUGAAUGGCAGUGCUCAUCAACUUUGGGGUCCCCGGCCCCCUAAAAUAUUUUAUGGGGGGAGGGGUGAAGACCCCUCGGCCCCUAGGAGUUAGCUCCUAUGUUCCUUGGUCAACUAUCCGUUUGGAAAUUUAUAGCCAGGGGCAUUUCUGUGCCCAGAGAAGAAUUUCUCUUUUGGCACCAAACCAAAUACGAGUAUGAGCUUCACCUGUAUGCCCACAAAAUUCUACCUUCCAAAAUUCUACCUCCACUACAUUGCAGGGGGAAGGUUAUUUAAUUCAUUUAUAACGGCUCAGUUUGGUUCGGUUUACUGUGUUCUAACAAACGACCAUUGCACGCACAAAAAAAAUAAUAACAACAAGAAUCCGGCUACUAAUAGUGAUUUUCAUUUCUGCACCCCCUGACCUUUAAAGGAUAAAUCAUUUCCCAUAUCCCCUUUAGGUUUUGUUACACACAUUUGUAGAGCCUUAGUAAGAAAUUUGGAUAUAUACUUCUCUACACCAGAGAACAAGAAAAUCAGGUCUUUGCAAGAGAUGACCUUCCCUUCCGCGAUCAAGGCGUGCAUGUAAUUGUUUCUCAGAUCGUUAUAAUAAGGGCAUUCAAGGAGUACAUGUUUCAUUUAUAACAAUGAUAUCUGAUAUUUCCUCUAAGAAGCUCAAGGAAUUGCACAAUGUCCCCAACUCCCCAUUUUAUCUGUACAACAACCCUGUGAGGAAGGCUGGAGGUAAGACGCUCUGUAGGGAAGGAGGUGGUUUUUCAGAUAUUUGGGGCCUGAGGCAUUUAGUUCUUUAAACACCAAUGCGAUUCUUUGUGUUCUGAGCAGACAAAAUGAGUCAAUGCCAGGUCAGACCAGGUCUUCCAAGCCCAGUAGUCUCUACCCUGACUAUUCACAGUUUCAGGCAGGUAGAGGUAAAAAAUAAUAAUCAGGUAUUGUUUUGGGUGUUCUCUGCGAUCCAGUUCUCUGUCCAUCCAUCCCUAUAUUUCUAAAGCAGAAAUAAAAUAAAAUGCAAGUCAUUUUGAUUUCAUUGCAUUAUUUAAAACAAUUGCUUAAAUCAGUUUAGAAGCAAAAGGCUACCACACUGGGUGUUGUUCUGUGUCCCCCCCCCCCAAUUGCUUGCAACACAUUCUAAACACCACGAGGAAAUUAGAGUAAUUUUGAUAUUAAAAUGAUUACUGCCACUUUUGUAAUAAACUGAUGCAACUUUAGAAGUCUGUCCCUGAUAUCUUUCAUGAUUUAGACAUCACACACGCUAUAAUUGUGCUAUUAAAGGAAAGAGAGCUAAUCUUUUUGCAUUUGAAGUAAGCCCUCAUCAUCAGACCCGACAAAGCCAGACAGAUCAAAAAAGGCGGGUGGAAUGGGGGGGGGGAGAAAGAAAAGAAAAGAAAAGAAAAGAAAAGAAAAAGAGCAUUUAAGGAAAUUAGUACAAGAGUCAGUUAAAAGGUAAAAAUUAAUGCACUUAUUAUUGAAAUACAGUUGAAACCCACUUUUUUCAUUUCUUUGAUAUUACUAAAGCAUAAAACAUUCAAUUAACUUUUCAUUGUGUUUUAGAAGAUGGGGAGGGACAGAGGAUUGUCAGCUGAGAAUGAGGGGAGGGGGGACUGUGCAAAUGAAGGAAAAAAAGUGAAGAUACCAGAAAGAGUCAGACUUAAUCCCUUGUCCGUAAAAGCUGGUCAAUCACUUUUGCAUUUUGCAGAGCUGAUUUUUGGCUUGUCGACUGCAUUCCUUUCAGAUAUAGCAACAAGCUGGUGAAGAGGUUAUCUUGUAUCCCUUCUAUUAUCAGCUACACAUAUUCUUUUUAUUAUAAUUUGAUAAAGAGAGAGAUGGAAGAUCUUCACUCCUUUAACCUAGCCACCGUCUGAUUAAGCAAGAAAAUAUUAAAGGAAAACAAAGCACAGUGAUAAAAUAUGAUGGUAUUUGGUAACAUAAGCAAAACGAGUGCAUUUAAUUUGUACUUACCCUCGAAGCUGAAAGUAUAAAGAAGGGAGGCAUCGGAAAUCAAAUCUUGAAAUAAAAGAAAAUGUGAAAAGAGGUGGUAACCGAAGUAACUCAGUUUAUCUUGCCAACAGUAUUGGGUAGAAGGUCAGGUUUUAUUUUUCCAUUUUUAAAAAGGCUGCAUUUGACUUAAGAUUUAAUAAUACUAAGAUAACGUUGUAGCAUUAGUAUUGGCUUUAAUUAAAGAAGUAUUUUGCUAAUUGGCAUAAAAUAUCUAUGUGAUUAUUUUUCCAUAUAUUUUCGGCUUUGCAAUAAGAGAACAGCUGCUAAAUAUUUUCUUGCAUGCUGAUUCCACUUAAUCAACAUUCUUCUUCUUAAUGAAGGCAACAAAAGUUGGAAAUUGUGUUUUACAAAUGGGUUGCUUGGAAAAUAUCAGCAUGAAGCCAAUGAAAUUCACCUUUGGGUGCUGAUAAUCAGAUUUACCCCCAAAUUACUACUUUUAAGGUAUCAGAUAAAUCUUAAGGGAAGCGGGGGAGGAACUCAGCCUUGAAAUCUUAUAACUGUUUGUGAUUCUCUUCAGCCAACUCAGCACAGUACCACAUCAGCAAAAUAAUUCCCAGUUUUUAAACAUCCCAGUUCAGUGAUUAUUAUUCCUGUAAAAUGCAUCUGAAAGAUGCUGGUGCCAUAUUGACAAGUGCAAAGCUUUGGCAAUACACCAAUGAACUUAUAAAUAUAAAAAGUAGGCUAUUACAAUUCCCCACCCCCAUAUAGCAACUAGAUAACUUCUUUGGAUAGCGUCUGUCAGUUCUAGAGCAGAAAUAGAUGCUUGCGCAAAUUAAAACUUCCCCAAUGAUUGGGAAUUUAAAUCCAACUUUUGAAGUUUCGAGCAUUUUCCAGUUUUGUAUUGGACUUCUGCUUUGAGAAUCCCAAGUUGCUGAAUAAUUUAAAGGCAAUACUGUUAAAUACGGACAUAUCAAAUUUUGCCAUUUUCUAAAAUCCCUGAAUAUGAGAGCAUUUAUGGUAGAAUUGAAUAGUCUGCACCAAAAUUUAUGGACUUGAGAAUUGCUGUUGCGUGUUGAGGUCCCCAGGGCCACCCCAAUAGCUCACACAUCACACAGAAUUUUUUGUUUAAGGUUUUUGGCAUAAUUUUGACCACAACUUUAUUAAAAUACAAAAAUGUGAGUGGUUGCUUAGGCAUUGGUUGCGACUAUCUGCCCCCACCAUGGGGGACAGACUGACAUUCCGCACGAUGUGAAAGUCAGAAAAGGGGAAUACACUUGGGGGUAGCGAUGGAGCAGGGAAGCUGCCCUCAGCCCUCCCCAAAUGCAACCAGGAGCUCAUUGCUAUGGCCCGAGCCCGAGCCCCCUUGACAGGGUGGACAAGCAAUAGUUAGCCCCCGAUUCAUUUAACGGAAUCCCUUGCAGCAGCAGCAUUAGAGGGGCAGGCACAGCCAAUCCAUGCCCCUCAACCAACCAAACCAUAAACCAAUGCCUAACCGCAACCUUACAAGUUGUGACAAUUUGCUACGCAGUAGGCAAAAACCAAAUGGCCCCAGCCAAUCAGCCAAAUGGACAAAAUUCCUACCGGGCCUCUGCCCCAAAGCAGACAACCCCAUGACAGGCAUAGCAAGGUCAAAGCGAACAACCCUAAUUCUAGGGAGGGGGGGACGGGCAAUCCGAAGCACGGGUGAAAAGAGGAAGCCCUAGCCUCGUGCAAGGAGUUUUAGCAUUUCUGGCUGUCAAUCAACAAAUGGCAACAUUAACUUCUUCCCAACAACAAGGGAAGCCCCAAUCGCAUCAGUGGCCAACGGUCAAUUAGCCUGCCCCCAACUUUGGAGUGUCCUGGCGGCCGCCACUGCAACACGUGCUCUCCAUGAAGGAGAACAUGCUUUGUCACAGUAGACUGCAUUGGAUUAGACUGUAUUGGAUUAGAUCUUUACAUCUUUGACAGUCAGUUUGCCACAGGUGAGGCACCAUGUCUCUGAAUGGCAGCUGCUGGGAAUCGCAGGUAUGGAGAGUGCAGUUGUCCUCCACAUGCAGCUGCUGGGUGACCUUGGGCCAGUCACACUUCUUUGAAGUCUCUCAGCCUCACUCACCUCACAGAGUGUUUGUUGUGGGGGAGGAAGGGAAAGGAGAAUGUUAGCCGCUUUGAGACUCCUUAAAGGGAGUGAAAGGCGGGAUAUCAAAUCCAAACUCUUCUUCUUCUUCUUCAUGUUCAGCUUGCAGGCUUUCCACUAGCAUCUGGUGUGAGAACAGGAUGUUGGACUAACUGAGCAAAUGUCCUGAUCCAGUAAGCCAAACUGCAUUUUAAAGGCUUGUUUUCCAUCUGCCAGGUUCAGGCUGGGCCAGAUUUAGGUUUGAUGAGGCCCUAAACUACUGAAGGUAAUGGGGCCCUUUCUAUGUCCAGCUCUCCUUUGUCAACAACAAACUCUCGCUGUUUUUUAUGUUGAAUAUAUGCUAUAUGAUCAUUUAUGAACCUAAUAGGUAUCUAAAGCCAUUUGCACAUAACAAAAUAUGUAUUUUAUCAAAGUAAUUGUUGAACUGAAAUACAAUUAAGAAGUAUAUUAAUAGUGAAAUAAUUAUUAAGCUCUAAUUGCAUGUAGGUUUUAUUUUAUUAGUUUUUUUAUCUUAUAUUUUCGAAAUGUACAUUCAAGUUUUUUUCCCCUUAAAUUUUUUUUGGUGCCCCCAAGAGAGUGGGGCUCUAAGCUAUAGCUUGCUUAGCUUAUAGGUAAAUCCUGCACUGGGUUCAGACUGGCUCAAUCUACAGUAGCUGAAUGGAGUUUGGAGUUAGGUGUACACCACAUACUCACAUACUGCCCCAGAAAAAAAGGGACACCCCACUUAUUUUUUUCUCAAGAGGAGAGAGGCCAAAAUGGUCGCUGCAAUCUCAGGUGAUUUCAGGCUGCAUGCUUUUCAGAUGUCGUGCCCCAGAACAUGUUUUCGGCUGCUGUGCCUGAAAAAAAAUGCUUUUUUGGGGGGCCGUGAUCUUGUGCAUGUCAUGUGACUCACAUAGGAGCGCAAACCCGGAAGAUGGUGCCCCAGAUUUGGGUUACGUCAUUUUGGAAGGUAUGACACCAAUCAAACUUGAGUCAGCAUAAAUUCGUCUGGUGUCCUAUACUUAGGAUUGUUCUCUUAGUAUUUCCGAAAUUAAAAAGGAUCCCCCAUCAUUCUUACGAGAAAACUACUGAAAGCAAAGCUAGUUUCAGGUCUGGGAGGAUUACAGAGUAAUAUUUCCCACCCUGCCACCAGUUUCUUGUCCCAGUCUCGUCAGCCCUGUGAUCACGUUAGAGAUCUUUUCAUUUAGGAGGCUCUGCUAAGUUUGUCAGAAACCCUGUACAGAGUUUAGAGCUGCCUAUAUUACAGAUUCUCUGUUGAACCAGGCCCUUGCCAUUUCUAUUUUGCAGAGUGAGAAUAAUUUCUGAAAGGAUUUCUGAAGGAAGCAAAGACCUAUUUGUUUCCAACUCCAGAUUUUUGACAGGCCGGUAAUGGAGGCAGUAGUAAGUGAGAACCUGUUGUUUGGCUUCUGCUACAUCAUAGCAUCCAAGGUAAUCUGGAGCUGAAUCUCUGUCUUGGUGAGAGCCCUGGUGGAGAGAACCACACUGCAAAUGUUAACCCACAUGGAUGCCUAAGAAUUUCAGCUGUGGCCCCGAACAAGCAGCAACCUGAAGCCACAUCUUCAGCAACUGCUGUCAUCAGAGGCCAAGCUGAUCAUAAGCAUGAACACAUUUGCUGCAUGCCUUCCUCCUUAUCAACAAAGCCAUCACUUCAAUGGCUUCCUUUCUUCCCACUCUGUACCUUAAGAGUUGACAGAGCAAGCUGCGCCUCACUGCUACAGGAAGUUGCUUCGAAAUCAAUCUGUGUGUAUUUGGAAAUACAAAAAUAGCAACCCAUCGCUAGUGUCUCAGGCACACAGUCCAUUUGCCUGACAAAGUGGCAGAUAAUCUUACGUUUAAAUCUGGCUCUUAAAAGCUGGUGGAUGAUAGCUGAGAAUGGAUUACUAUUAGCACUAAACUUUAUUUUAUUUUUUUUAGCUGGGGAUCGUUUCUCUCCCCACAAGUGGUGAAGCCAGAUGUCCAAAAUGGUGGUGGGAGCUGAACAGUUACUCAUGAAGAAGGGAAAUGUGAAGGGGUGGGAUUCAGAAAUUUGGCCAAAGUCAGCGCAUAGUUCUAGUAACAAUGAAGAAGAAGAAGAAGAAGAAGAAGAAGAAGAAGAAGAAGAAGAAGAGGAGGAGGAGGAGGAGUUUGGAUUUGAUAUAAUAAAUUAUAAUAAUAAAUUUUUAUUUAUAUCCCGCCCUUCCCAGCCAAAGCCGGGCUCAGGGCGGCUAACAACAAUAAAAUAAUACAACAUUCUAAAAUCAUUUCAUUAUAAAAUUAAUUCAAAUCAAAUUGAUGGCAACCAUUGGUUCUGUGAAGAUUGCCAAAGGAGGGAGUUAGGCUGUGCCCUGGCCAAAGGCUUGGUGGAACAGCUCUGUCUUGCAGGCCCUGCGGAAAGAUGUCAAGUCCCGCAGGGCCCUAGUCUCUUGUGGCAGAGCGUUCAAUAAUAAUAUAUAUAUAUAUAUUGGGACUCCUUAAGGAGUCUCAAAGCGGCUAACAAUCUCCUUUCCCUUCCUCCCCCACAACAAACAUUCUAUGAGGUGAGUGGGGCUGAGAGACUUCAGAGAAGUGUGACUGGCCCAAGGAGCUGCAUGUGGAGGAGCGGGGAAGCGAACCCGGUUCACCAGAUUAUGAACAAGCCCACCACUCUUAACCACGCUGGCUCUCUAGAAUCAUAAUACAGUGAACCACAAAAAGAAACCGCUUUGGCCUCUGCAUAAUGAGGUACACAAGCCCUUCUUUGUGGCUAUGUCUGUCUCUGCCUUCUGUCACCUGGUGUAGGCAGCAAUCCUAACCCCACUUCCUUCAAAGCAAGGCCUACUAGAUUCAGUUGGACUUACUUCCGAAUUUACAGGCUGGAAUGUGUGCAGAGGAGGGUGACCAAGAUGAAAACCAAGUCUUAUGAGGAACAGUUGAGAGAGUUGGGUAUGUUGAGCCUGGUUAGGAAGAGACUGAGAGGAGAUGUGAUAACCAUCUUAAAAUAUCCAAAGGGCUGUCACAAAGAGGAUGGAGCAAGUUUGUUUUCUCCUGCUCUGUAGGGUAGGAUCCGAACCAACAAAGGAGAUUCCAACUAAACAUCAGGAAGAACUUUCUGAUGGUAAAAGCUGUUUGACAGCGGAAUGGGCUCCCUCAGAAGGUGGCACACUCUCCUUCCUUGGAGGUUUAUAAGCAGAGGUUGGAUGGCCAUAUGUCAUGGAUGCUUCAGUUGAGAUUCCUGCAUCGCAAGGGGUUGGACUAGAUGAUCCUGGGAGUCCCUUCCAACAUUACAAUUCUCUGAUUCUAUUAUUCUAUAUCUAUAGCUGAACCUGGAUAAGGCACUUCACCUGGCGUGGCCCAGGCUUCAUUGGGAGAGCCACUUAUCUAUGUGUAGAGCCAAUUCCGGAACAAUCUGUGUUAGUGUUUUAGUUUUAGGGCUUUGGGGAUGAGGUGGUGCCUCAAUGGCUUAAACUUACGCUGAUUUUGUCAGGUUUGAAGAGAUAUUUCUAAAGUUCUUCACAGCUUCUGAGUGAAAGCUCAGAGUAAAGCUCUCUGUAUAGAAGCUGGUUCAAUUUAUCUUAGCAAGGCUUGUUCUUCUUCUAUGGGCUUAGCCGUUCUAGCUGUAUAGUUGCUUACAACCAAUUUACCUGGGACAGGAUCUGGACUGAAGGAGUUGUAAUUUCCUAGAUCUCCCACCCUGUUGUCAUGGUUCCCUUUUUGUGUUACCCUCCGAUCUUCUGGAGAUCUAUGGUGAUGUAGACCUUAAUGUGAUGCUGUUCGCUGUGCCUACAAAAGAAGGCAUCACCGUACUGAAUAGGAGUUUAUAGUAGUAAAAUCUCCUCUGGAUGUCAAAGGUUUGUCUCAUGAAUAUGGAUGACAAUUUGCUAUGAAUAUGGAAGAGGCUAGGAAGGGAUGAUGGGCUGGGGGAGUCUAACAUUAACUGCUCUUAACCUUCCCACUUCUUUGAUCUUACCACAAUAUGAUCCAUGGGACAUAUAGAACUGACUGCAUUUUUAAAAUAAAAAAGUAAAACUCCUUUUUUUUUGCACAAAUCUGUUAGUCAUUCCUGGCUUCGGAUGUUUGCCCUGCAGCCUUGUUUACUACCUAUAUAAUUAUUAGAAGACUCUUAUAAUUGUAAUUGAAAUUCUGAGUUGACACUUAUGUCAUGGUGCUGUGGCAAAGCAUUGUGUUUAAUUUCUCCUUUGUUCAUCUCAUUUAAUGUUCUGAAGAAUCAAAGGAAGAUCCCACUCAUUUCUCUUCCUUGCCAUUACAAGCUUUGAGCUCCACCCAUACCUGCUGGAACCACUAAUUUAAUUCUUUUUAAAAUAUAGAGCUUCAUAUGGAUUGGCAUGUUCCACAGGUAGAGUGGGUAAACAACUCAUUCUGAACAUUGCCUCUUUAAGACAGCAUAAUUUUGAGUAACUUCCAUAUCAUCUAAGGGGAGAGCCUAUAAUAAAUCUAUGUAACUUCUGGAUUCACUAGAUUCAAAUCUGUACGAACCAGGGAUUUGGUCCAAAUUUUAAAGUGAAGAGACCCAAUUCAUAGCUUGACUAAUAACCUGGACCAAAGUUGUCUGUAAAGGCAUGCAUGUUGUUGUUGUUGUUUAGUUGUUUAGUCGUGUCCGACUCUUCGUGACCCCAUGGACCAGAGCACGCCAGGCACUUCUGUCUUCCACUGCCUCCCACAGUUUGGUCAAACUCAUGCUGGUAGCUUCGAGAACACUGUCCAACCAUCUCAUCCUCUGUCGUCCCCUUCUCCUUGUGCUCUCCAUCUUUCUCAACAUCAGGGUCUUUUCCAGGGAGUCUUCUCUUCUCAUGAGGUGGCCAAAGUAUUGGAGCCUCAGCUUCACGAUCUGUCCUUCCAGUGAGCACUCAGGGCUGAUUUCCUUCAGAAUGGAUAGGUUUGAUCUUCUUGCAGUCCAUGGGACUCUCAAGAGUCUCCUCCAGCACCAUAAUUCAAAAGCAUCAAUUCUUCGGUGAUCAGCCUUCUUUAUGGUCCAGCUUUCACUUCCAUACAUCACUACUGGGAAAACC